GACAUCUGGGAGAGCGCCUCGCACACAGCAGGGGCUCAAUAUUUGUGCAGUGAAGGCAGAGGCCUGCUGCUGCCCUCCUAAUGCUGGAGAAGAGGGAGGAGCUGGGGCUCUGGGCCAGACGUUUGCAGGGGACACCUGCAGCUGCCUCCCCCUCUCCUUCCUUCUUCUCCUUUCCUCUGUCCUCACUGGCUUGCCUCCUUCCCUCCCUCUGAUCUCCUCCUACCCCCUCCACCCCUGGGAGUCGAGAGUCUUCCCAGGUGUGAGCCAAGCACCCAGAAAUCCCGUUUUCAGCCACCUUAUGAGGCCCAGGAAACGGCCACUGUCCAGGCUGCCCGUGGCUCAGAGGGUGUGCUCCCUCCUGACCUGGGGGAAGGCAGAGCCCGGACAGCCUCAUCAUGCCGGUCUUCACUUUCCAGCUCUACAAUGUUUCCAGUGUCAACGAUUCAAUGCCAGCGGGGUUUGCGAGACCGGGAAAGGUGUCUGCCAGACUAAACGCUACGAGCAGUGCUUCCUGAGGAAAGUCUAUAACGGUAACAUCCUUUCGUAUGGAUACCAAGGUUGUGCCAGUGUGUGUUUCCCUAUGACGAUCUUUAAUAGGGAUGUUGCUUUGGAGGAGAACUGUUGCAGUGAAUCAAGUUUCUGCAACAAGUUCUAAAGAUGGAGCCCAGCUUUGCCCUGACCUGAUGGAGGACGCGGAUACAACACAUUUUUCAAGUCUCACGAUCCUUACCACUAUUAUGCACUGAGUACGGCUUCCUAUAAAGAAGUCAUAAACUA